rnacentral:rRNA from 1 species
UACAGAGGUCUCAAGCGUUGUUCGGAUUCAUUGGGCGUAAAGGGUGCGUAGGCGGCGCGGUAAGUCGGGUGUGAAAGCUCGGAGCUCAACUCCGAAAUGGCAUUGGAAACUACCUUGCUCGAGGGUUGGAGGGGGGACUGGAAUACUUGGUGUAGCAGUGAAAUGCGUAGAUAUCAAGUGGAACACCAGUGGCGAAGGCGAGUCCCUGGACAACUCCUGACACUGAGGCACGAAAGCUAGGGGAGCAAACAGG